CAAGACCUUGCGCUUUUGGAGCGGCCGAUGUCUGAUUAGCUAGUUGGUGAGGUAAAGGCUUACCAAGGCGUCGAUCAGUAGCUGGUCUGAGAGGACGACCAGCCACACUGGGACUGAGACACGGCCCAGACUCCUACGGGAGGCAGCAGUGGGGAACUUUGGACAAUGGGGGAAACCCUGAUCCAGCCAUGCCGCGUGAGUGAAGAAGGCCUUCGGGUUGUAAAGCUCUUUCAGCAGGAACGAAACGGUCACGGUUAAUACCCGUGGCAACUGCCGGUACAGGAAGAAGAAGCAACGGCUAACUACGUGCCAGCAGCCGCGGUAAUGCGUAGGGUGCGAGCGUUAAUCGGAAUUACUGGGCGUAAAGCGUGCGCAGGCGGUUUUGUAAGUCAGAUGUGAAAUCCCCGGGCUUAACCUGGGAACU
rnacentral:rRNA from 1 species